GGUUCAGGCCUAGGCGCGGGGCAGGACGGGACCGGUGAGUGGCUCCUCCAAACAGCUAUAGAGACCCAGAAAUGCCUGUGGAAAGCUACAGAGGACUUGGGCAAGGCGUUAGAGCCGGACGUUGUGGUCCCUGGGGGAGCCAACCGGGGAGGUGCCUAUGAUCUUUCUUUCCAAGUUUGAGGGUUCAGGUCUGUGUUCGCCUGCUGGUUAGACCGAUUUAAGUUUUAGAGUCCCAGGAGUUCUGGGCGAGCUGCAGCCUAGGGGCCUGGAAGGCCAGGAAGACUUGAAGGAUCUGUGUUGGUAGGCCUGGAGUUUGGCUAACGUGGGGAUGAUUUGGAUUCUGAGAUGCAGAUACAUUGCCUUUUUGGUAUCCAAUUUGAAAAGUAGCAACCAUUUUGCUAUCCCAAAGAACAUCCAUGGAGGCUUUCAACAAAUAAUAUGCUCACCUGUUUCAGGGAAUUAUCUAUAUCCCUUAAGUGGAUUUUCGAUCUUGUGUUUCUGAGGUGCUUUGCUUUUUAUUCUUCCCACUUUCUUCCUUUUCUUGUGAAUAUUUGUUUAAAACAAAAAAAACUCUGGACUGACAAAUUUAAUAGAAGCUAUUUGCACAAAGAACAGUUCAUGAAUUGGGCAGCACUCAGAACCAAAAGAGGUUCAGAGAGCUCUGUCCAGCAGUAUGACCUGCUAGCUUUUAUAGGAAGCAAAGUAGAGAAAUCACCUCAUUAGCUAACAUCUAGGUGUCUGCCUUAUUUGACAAUGAUAUGAUGAGGCAUUUGCCUUAUUGGGGCAUGGUCUGAUCAGUUGGCUGUCUGUUAUUUGCUGAAGCUCGGCCGUGAUUGGCUGAAACCCAGCUGUUAUAAAAAAUAAAGUAAGUUAGGCUUCAGUUCGUUUACAUACUAAGUCAGGUUGUAUUUUGUUAUAUGGGAACUCAAGUACCAAGACAGCCUCAGGCUAAUGGGCUUUUGCUUAUUUAACAGAUUUUUCAUUCUUUUUAUGUCCCAAUAUCAAAUACUGCCUUUCCUAUAAUAAUUUUUCUCAGUAAGUAGUAUGAUUAAAUGAUUAGAAAAAGGGGUUCUUGAGGUAUCUGUUUGGGGGUUAUUGAUGAAAGUUCCACUGAAUAUUUCUAAAACAUUUAAAUUGGACAACUAAUGAAUGGAUUUUCUUUGCAAAUUGGAAUACUCUAUGGAGAAGGGAUCUGGUUCUUUAAUAGGGACCAAGCAGGAAGGAAUGCUCUUAACAGUUACUGAUGUUUACCAUGAGUGUUUAUGGCAUCUGUGUGUCUAUAUGUUUACCUAAGUAUUGAAUGAGAAGUUUCAGCAUUCCUGCAAAGUAUUUAUUCCCCUUACAGUAGUCAUUUAAAUCUUUUCAGGUAAAUCCCUUAAAAUCCUUAUGUCUUUAUUCCUGCCAUACCAGAGAUGACCUUCCUUCUUUACUAAGUGAGGCUCCCUAAUUAACAAUUUUUCUCCAUCACAAAAUGUCUAUAAGUCUGUAUACCAGCCAAGGUUCAUUCAGAGAAGUGGAAUCACUAUGUUUCUUUAUGUUCGCAGGGCAAGCAGUUAAGAAGGGAAGAUGAACAUAAAGUAGGGAAGAGCAAAAAUGAGUUGGAACCUAAGACACGAGCUGGUCAUUCUUUCACUGUCUCCAACUUUAAAGAUAUGAGUAUCCUUGCUAGAGGAGCUGACACUUUUUGCCACAGGACUAGACACACACACAGCUCAGGAAUCAAAAAAGGUGAAGGAAGACUCAGGGAAAAGCUUCUGCCCCAUCCCAACAAGGUGAACCAGCUGAUUGGUGACAAAGUAGAUGAGCCGCAGUAGCACCUAGUGUCCCUGCACCACCGUUUCAAGUAUAAAACUGGAGGGAUGCUUCAGUUCUCCCCUUCAAGACUUACACAACCAUGUCUCUGUUGGGCUAUUCUAACCAGAAACAAAAGGAAAGGAAAUUCUGGGAAACAUAGUUUAGCUUAGCAAAGUUGAUAUAUUACAAAAUUACCACUGUCCACUCUGCAUCGAGUUGACAUCCAUACAGACCUCUUUAAAACACACUUUCAAAAUAAAGUCCACACCCUACACAUAAGCUAUCUCUAGAGAAAUUUGAAGUCUGUUGUGCACUGAGGAUAACCACAACAACAAACUGUAAACCUAGCCCAAUUUCUGACUAGACUGAUACCACCGAACCACUGCUAUGCACUCAAGAGCACUAAAGGCCUAGCAGAAGGAAAGACACACUCAUCUCCAAGCAUAAAAACAAUCUUUACUUCAUACUGUGAAGAGAGAAUUGAAAAAAUAAUUUAAGCAAAAAAAAUACAACAUGACUAACUUUUAACAGAAAGAAAAAAAGACGCAUACAGAAAGGCAAGAAAAAACACAGUCCAAAGAGAUAAAACAAUCAUUAGAACCAGAUUCAUAAGACAUAGACAUUAGAAAUAUGAGAGAAUUUUAAAUAACUGUGAUUAAUGUGAUGAAGGCCCUAAGGGGAAAGGUGAACAAAAUGCAAGCUCAGAUGGGUGAUUUUAGCAAAUAGAUGGAAACUAUCAGGAAAAAUAAAAUGGAAACUAUAAAAAUAAAAAAUAUAAUAAUAGAGAUGAAGAAUGCCCUCCAUGGGCCCAUUAGGAGACUGAACACAGUUGAGGAAAAAAUCAGACUUGAAGGUAGGUAAAUAGAAAUUGCUGAAACACACACACACACACACACAAAAAGAGUGACAGAAACAGAACACAGCAUCCAAGACUGGUGGGAAAAUAUCAACAUCAAAUCAAGAAAUAGGCGCAGUGGCUCACCCCUGUAAUCCCAGCACUUGGGGAGGCCGAGGCAGGCAGAUCACGAGGUCAGGAGAUCGAGACCAUCCUAGCUAACGCAGUGAAACCCCGUCUCUACUAAAAAUUCAAAAAAAUUAGCCGGGCAUGGUAGCAGGCACCUGUCGUCCCAGCUACUCGGGAGGCUGAGGUAAGAGAAUUGCGUGAACCCGGGAGGCGGAGCUUGCAGUGAGCUGAGAUCACACCACUGCACUCCAGCCUGGGCGACAGAGCAAGACUCUAUCUCAAAAAAAAAAAAAAAAUCAAGAAAUAAUGGCUGAGAAUUUCCAAAAUUUGUAAGACACCAAACCAAUCCAAGGAGCUCAGAGAACACAGAGCAGGAUAAAUUCUUUAAAAAGAAACUAAGCUUAUUGUAUUCAAACUAAGCUUAUUGUAUUGAUACCUGGUAGUUAUAACUUACCAAAUACACUGCCCAACAUCUCCAGAUGAUCUAUUAUUUCUGAAAGUUUCCUUUAUUACAUUUCUUACUUCAGGGAGAUAUAGCCUUCGCUUCAUGUUAUGGUUGGUGCAGUCAGUAUUCUCAGAAAGAAAGUACUGGUUCCAUUUUACCUCCAUCUUUUGUUUCCUGUCAGAAAACCUACCAUACCACCAAGUACUCCUUCUCUACACUGCCUCUGAUAUUUAAGUAAUUUGAGAAUUCUGUUGAGACUAUCUCCCUUUUUUGGUAUGAUGAAUCUGGUCCUAAAUUGCAUGCCAAAGACUUUGAGAACUAAACUGUAGACCCAGAUCUCAUGUCCCAGACUGGCCUUUUGUUACCCACACAAUGAAUGGGUUAAAUUGCUUGGCAGGGGACAGUCCAAUGACCACAACCAAGGAGGAUUUCCCAGGGGGAUUUUAUUACUUGCGAUAAGUAAGGAGGACACUGGGAAUAAUUCCCCAAAGCAAUGCCUCCCUGAGCAAUGGUGCAAACAUGGCUUUUAUUAGUCUGGUUAGCUGAGUCAUUGUAUGUAGAGGUGGAGUCAAGGCAGCGCAGUCCCAGUUGUCGGUUAUGCUGCUACAUAUGUCACAUGUAUAGAAAAUGGUGAAUAAGCUCCUCCUUGGACAGGAUUUUAAGUAUGGUGAUGAGGAAAGUUGGCCAAAGUUCAUCUCCAACUCAGGCAUCUCUGGGUCCAACUGGUCUUUGUUUUUCCUGGGCUAAGCUUCUUCCUGGAACUUUUUAAAACAAAAAUUCAAGAUGUAACAGUUACAAGUGUGUAACUUUUUCACAGUGCGUACCCAAAACCCAAGGACCCUGGGUUACACUUUAGGUGCCACCCAUGUGGGACCUAUCAGAAGAGUACUACAAAGGCUUUGAAAACUGAACUGACAUUGGAACCACAACCCUCAGAAGGCUGGUCAAAACUUAUGACUUGAACCCAAAUGGGUUAAUUACCCUUUAAAACAUAAAUAUCAACAUCCUCCACCAAAUUUAACCAAGACCCAGAGCAUCCUAAUGACAUUCAAAAUGUCCAGGAUACAAUCGAUAUUAAUUGGCAGGUGAAGAACCAGGAAAAUCUCAACUCACGUUGGGAAAAAAUGUAACAGAUGCAGAAUGUAAGUUGCCACACAUGUUGGAAUUAUCAAGACUAUAAAGCUGCUAUUCAAAUGGAAAGUUUAAAAGUCUCAGAGAAGUAAUAGAAAAUACAAAGAAUAGCCCCAUGGAAAUUUUAGAACGGGAAAAUACAAAAACCGUCAUCACAUCAUAUCCGGGGCACAUGCUGUCAACAUUGCUCAUCACUGUUGAUGUUAACCUUGAUCACCCGGCUGAGGUAGUAUUUGAUGGGUUUCUCCCUGUAAAGUUAUUCUUUCCCCUCCCCCUAUUUUACUGUUUAGUGGGAAGUCACUAUGUGCAGCCCAUGCCUAAAAAGGGAGUAGUUGGUGGGCACGGUGGCUCACGCCUGUAAUCCCAGCACUUUGGGAGGCUGAGUGGGUGGAUCACCUGAGGUCAGGAGUUCGAGACCAGCUUGGCCGACAUGGUGAAACCCCGUCUCUGCUAAAAAUACAAAAAUUAGCCAGGCAUGGUGGUGCACGCCUGUAAUCCCAGCUAUUCAGGAGGCUGAGGCAGGAGAACUGCUUGAACCUGGGAGGCAGAGAUUGCAGUGAUCCUGCCAUUGCACUCCAGCCUGGGCGAUGAGCAAAAUUCCAUCUCAAAAGAAAAAAAAGUGAGUAGUUAUAUUUCCCCUCCUUGCGGUGGAGUAUCUACAUUCUUCUGCAUGAGAAAUUUGUCAGUUAUCUCCUAUUUAUUCAAUUAUUUAUAUUAUGAAUUCAUGGAUUCCUAUUUUAUACUUUGGGUAUAAUCCAAUACUAUGUUGUUUAUUUUACUGCUCAGAUUAUUCCUGUGUUGGCCAUUGGGAACUUUUUCAGUUGACAUCUGUGUCCCUUUGACAAACUCCUGUCAUUUUGUGGGGAAGAGGGAGUAGCACUUUCUUACUUUCUACCGCUACAAAAUCCUCCAGUCUUAUCUUGUAUUUCUCUUCCCUAACCCUAAAGUCAAUCAUUCUCAUUUCUCUAAUGAUAAAUGAUGUUAAACAUCUUUUCAUAUGCUUUCUUAUUAUCUGUAUAUCUUCUCUGAUGAUUACCAAGGAUGGGAAGGGUAGUAGGGGGAAAGUGGAGAUGGUUAAUGGGUACAAAAAAUAGAAUGAAUAAGAAUUAGUAGUUGAUAGCACAACAGGGUGAUUACAGUCAAAAAUAAUUGUACAUUAUAAAAUAACUAGUAUAAUUGGAUUAUUUAUAACAAAGGCUGAAGGCUUGAGGUGAUAAAUACCCCAUUUACCCUGAUGUGACUAUUACACAUUGCAUACCUGUAUCAAAAUACCUUGUAUACCCCAUAAAUAUAUAACCUACUAUGUACCCAUUUAAAUAAAAAAAGUUUUUAAAAAAGAAAUAGUGCUGAGACAAUUGAAUAUCCACAUGCAAAAGAUAAAGUUUGACAUUUAUCUUACACCAUACACAAAAAUUAACUCAAAACCAACCAGAGACCUAAAUGUAAGAGCUGAAACUAUACAACUCUUAUGGAAACAUAGGCAUUAAUCUUUAUGGCUGUGAAUUAGGCAAUAGUUUCUUAGGUAAUACACAAAAAUCAUAAGCAACAAAAGAAAAAAUUGGAUGUUAG
rnacentral:lncRNA from 1 species